rnacentral:rRNA from 1 species
GCUAACGCCGGGCAGGGUGGCGCGGUGGUACGGAGGGGGGGAGCGUUGUUCGGAAUCAUUGGGCGGAAAGGGCGCGUAGGCGGCCGAUCAAGGCGGAGGUGAAAGCCCUCGGCUCAACGGAGGAAUUGCCUUCGAUACUGUUCGGCUUGAGUCCUGGAGAGGGUAGCGGAAUUCCCGGUGUAGCGGUGAAAUGCGUAGAGACCGGGAAGAACACCAGUGGCGAAGGCGGCUACCUGGACAGGUACUGACGCUGAAGCGCGAAAGCUAGGGGAGCAAACAGGAUUAGAUACCCCGGUAGUC